AUGUUCAUGGCUUUCAGCACCAGAAGGCUUGUUUCUUUUCUUGCAGUCUGCAGCUCCUUUCAGAUCUGCUCUGUUAAGGACAGGAUUGCUCAGAUGACAUCAUGUUCCCUCCAUGCCCAUUUAUUCAGAUUCAGGGAAGAAUGUCAUUUGUGCACACCUGGUAAGAGAAUGUCAGGAAGAAAUGGGCAGAGCUGUCCCACUGUGGCUCUCGUGUAGCAGAAACCUCAGCGAGCACUAUUGCAUUGUACAUUAGAACUGGUCAGUGGGCAACUCCUUGGUGCUGGGAGCUGGUGCUACUAUGUUUUGAUUUACACCUUGUUGCAGGGAGCUGCUCUUUGUUUACAUGUAGUUUGAACUAUUGAGCACAGUGUACAUUUUAAAAUUUUACUGGGCAAAUCAUUUUGCAGUAUCUUGAAAAACUUGCUUACCGUGACAUGUAGUGUCAUCAGUGCUCUUUUUUUUUUCUUCCUUUUUUUUUUCCCCCUUUUUUGUGUUGUUGUUGUUUGUAUUAGGUGAAUAUUACCGGUGAUGCUUUGCUGUAACAGUUCAUUGUCUGACUUGGGUUUUUUCAUAUUGGUGAGUGACAGUAACAGAAAAGCAAGAGCCUCCAUGUCUCUGGUAAUUUGAGCUUUCACUGUGGACUGGAGUAUUCAGAGGCAAUGCCUAGCAUGGUCAAAUGACUGUACGUAGAAUCACUGUAAUCAUUGUCAAUAGCAACCUGAAUUUCUCUAUUGGGGAUUUACACUAGAGGGAAGAGCAUAUUCUAGGAACUCUACAAAACAGCUGGAUUAACAGCUCUGGCCAAGAGUGUUAGGAAGGUUAGAGAUGGUAUGACACUUUCUGAAUCACAAAGCAAUAUGUCUUUCUCGUGAUUACAGAGCAGAUUCAGAGCUCCUCUCUAAAGCAUGUGCCUAUACACAAAACCUACCUGUACAAAAGUUAAGUCAGAGGUUUGAUUUCUAUCCCCCUCGCAUUUGUAAACUUGAUAGGAUUAAAAAAAAAAAAAAAUAGAUGUGGCCUUCCUAGAGUUUCUCCUCUAAAAGUGAUUGCACUAUGUAAAACACACUGUACUUUGCCCAGCUCGGGCAUUUCUUGUGCUGCUGCAAUGCUUUGUAUACCUGGAGUGCAGUGCACAGACUCGACUCUAGCACUCUCGCUCUGACUUACAAGCUGUUGCUUAAAUGGAUGUAUAUUGAGAAAAGUUUUCUAAUGUUGCAAGAUCUCCAUCAAAUUUACUGCAAUCUGUACUGUCCAAAUAUGUGAAUGGUCUGACUGAAAGAACAUCCUCCUGCUUACCAAAAAGGUAAAAACUAAAUAAAAGCUGCAUGACCUGUUCCUCAGAGUAAUUGGUAGUGGGUUUUUUUUUCUGUGUUGGGUAUUUUUUAGUGUUCCUGUGCUCCAGGUUCAGGCU
rnacentral:lncRNA from 1 species